AAUCACCGCAGUUAAGCAACGUCGAGCCUGGUCAGUACUUAGAUAGGUGACCACUUGGGAUUAUCAGGUGCUGUAAG